CGGGCAGGCAGGCAGGAAACCUUUAAUCCAGUGCCUUGUGCCCCGCUUGCACAUUGGGCAGCGGGAAGGGAGUGCCCCUUCAGCAGAUGCUAGGUCGGUCCCAAGAAUCAAAAGCCCUUCUGUGCACAGCCUGGGCGCUCAACCGUUUUUCAACAUUGCUGCACUGCCUUCCUGGAUGGUUUGAGUUUUCUUUGGAUAGAGGCAGUUGGGGGGAAAGGGAUGAUGUCUUUGGGCCACCCAGUUUGAGAAGUAAAUGAGAAAAAGAAAAUUGCUGGUGGUCAAAAUCUCGAAGUGAGAACAGGGUUGCUGCAGACAGUCGUGCAAGGUGUGCACUGCACAACUGCUGAGGCGCCUUUCCUCAAACAGAGAGUCAUGCCGUGUGUAUACCCAUUCGGGGUCACCCAUUAUGUGCCAGAAGGAGAACCACCUGGCUCAGGUGACCAGGGCCUUAUUCUUGGAUGGAGCUGGGGGGAUGGGAAUCAGUGGCCAGUUUGUAUGUGGGGGACACAGCAAGACCUCAUUACAAUGGCAGUCCUGAUCGAAAUACUUAGACACUCCCCAUACAGAUAAUUAAAUCUAACAGGGUCGUGGAGGAAGGAGAAGUCAAGGGAGUAAGAGCUCCCAAAUUUGUGGGCUCUCCUACCUCCCAGAUAUGAUUGCCAGAGAAAAAUAGAGGAUACCCAGUUAAAUUUGAAGGUCAGAUAAACAAUGAAUACAUAAUAUCCCCAGGGCUAAGAUCAAACAAAGAAACAAACAAUGAAAUCUUUUUAGCAUAAGUAUGCCCCAAACAUUGCAUGGGAUAUACCUACACUAAAGAAAUCACCGGUUAGUUCUCCGUCAGUCAAAUUUAACUAGGCAUCUCUAUUUUUCUUUGCUAACUCUAGCAAUCCUGCCCUCAGAGGGCAUGUCUGUAAAAGCUCUUUGCCACCCACCAUUGCCUGGAAAUAGCUAUUAAACCAGCAGCUAAUCAGGAGCAAACUUCCCCCAGGCCUUUUGUCUGCUGAGCAGGAUGGGAAGUAAGAGAGCACUCCCCUGCUCCUACACAUGUGCGCGCAUGCGCACACACACACACACGCGUUGCUGUCAUCGCAAAGGCAGCUUCCUCUUCUGGGAGCUCUGAAAUUGCCACCUGGCCUGGGUAAGAGGUUUCUCUGCAGGUGGGUGCCCAGAACGGCCACAUGUCUGUGGGGAGGAUGGAAACCCAGCCUUGGAGCCUGAGGAUCUCAGAGCACUUCCCACACAGCCGAAACUGGAAGAGUGUAUCUUGCACAAGGCCAGUGCGGGGACACAAGUUCGAUCCCUGGCCCAGGAGGAUCCAACAUGCCUCAGGGCAGUUAAGCCCACAUGCCACCAAGACUGAAGCCCACUUGCUCUAGAAACCAUGCUCCCCAGCAAGAGAAGCCGCCGCAGAGAGAGGCCCACACACCGCCUCGCCAGGGUAGCUCCUGCUUGCUGCAACUAGGGAAAGCCCACACGCAGCAACGAAGACCCAGCAAAGCCAAAAAUAAAUAAAUAUAAUUUUAAAAAUCG